rnacentral:rRNA from 1 species
ACACUCCUACGGGAGGCAGCAGUGGGGAAUUUUGGACAAUGGGCGAAAGCCUGAUCCAGCAAUGCCGCGUGAGUGAAGAAGGCCUUCGGGUUGUAAAGCUCUUUUGUCAGGGAAGAAACGGUGAGAGCUAAUAUCUUUUGCUAAUGACGGUACCUGAAGAAUAAGCACCGGCUAACUACGUGCCAGCAGCCGCGGUAAUACGUAGGGUGCAAGCGUUAAUCGGAAUUACUGGGCGUAAAGCGUGCGCAGGCGGUUUUGUAAGUCUGAUGUGAAAUCCCCGGGCUCAACCUGGGAAUUGCAUUGGAGACUGCAAGGCUAGAAUCUGGCAGAGGGGGGUAGAAUUCCACGUGUAGCAGUGAAAUGCGUAGAUAUGUGGAGGAACACCGAUGGCGAAGGCAGCCCCCUGGGUCAAGAUUGACGCUCAUGCACGAAAGCGUGGGGAGCAAACAGGAUUAGAUACCCUUGUAGUCCC